rnacentral:rRNA from 1 species
AAGCGCUUGGCCGAGAUCGUGAGUUUUUUAACAAAUGACCUCAAAUCAGGCAAGAAUACCCGCUGAAUUAAGCAUAUCAAUAAGCGGAGGAAAAGAAACUAACAAGGAUUCCCCUAGUAACGGCGAGUGAAGAGGGAAGAGCUCAAAUUUUAAAUCUGCCUUGUUCCAAGGUCGAGUUGUAAUUUGAAGAAGCGUUUUCUUGGGCUCGCGGCCGGUAGAAGUUCUUUGGAACAGGACAUCAUAGAGGGUGACAAUCCCGUCCGUGACCGGUCGUGCGUUCAUCUACGAUACGCUUUCAAAGAGUCGAGUUGUUUGGGAUUGCAGCUCCAAACGGGUGGUAAACAUCACCUAAGGCUAAAUAUUGGCGAGAGACCGAUAGCGAACAAGUACCGUGAGGGAAAGAUGAAAAGAACUUUGAAAAGAGAGUUAAACAGUACGUGAAAUUGUUGAAAGGGAAACGAUUGAAGUCAGUCGUGCUGGCGCGAAAUCAACCCUCUCGUCUUGAGAUCACAUGGCGCGACGAGCCUCAAAACCGUCACGAAGCGUGAACUCUUGACGAAAAGGUGCACUUUCGUGUCCGCUGGUUAACAUCAAUUUCGAACGUCAUAAAAAGGCUGGAGGGAUGUGGCUCCUUCGGGAGUGUUAUAACCUUUAGCGGAAUGUGGCGUUCGGGAUUGAGGAUUGCAACGAAUACCUUCAGGGCUGUUCCACCUGGCUUCUCAUUGGUAUCCUGGUGACGACAGCUUGCUGACGUCGUUAGGAUCAGCUUCUGAACAGGCUAGAGUGUGAGCAAAUUCGUUAAGGAUGUUAACGUAAUGGCUUUAAACGACC